GGGAAGCUGGCUCAGUGGUAGAGUGCUUGCCUUGCAUGCAUGAGGCCCUGGGUUCAAUUCCUCAGCACCACA
rfam:Dipodomys ordii contig_37847, whole genome shotgun sequence.